AUUGAACGCUGGCGGCAGGCCUAACACAUGCAAGUCGAACGAGUGGCGGACGGGUGAGUAAUGUCUGGGAAACUGCCUGAUGGAGGGGGAUAACUACUGGAAACGGUAGCUAAUACCGCAUACCAUCGGAUGUGCCCAGAGGGGAUUAGCUAGUCGGUGGGGUAAAGGCUCACCUAGGCGACGAUCCCUAGCUGGCCUGAGAGGAUGACCAACAACACUGGAACUGAGAAACGGUCCAGACUCCUACGGGAGGCAGCAGUGGGGAAUAUUGCACAUGGGGCGAAAGCCUGAUGCAGCCAUGCCGAGUGUAUGAAGAAGGCCGUCGGGUUGUAAAGUACUUGCAUCGGGGAGGCGUUACCCGCAGAAGAAGCACCGGCUAACUCCGUGCCAGCAGCCGCGGUAAUUC
rnacentral:rRNA from 1 species